GACGAACGCUGGCGGCGUGCUUAACACAUGCAAGUCGAACGGAAAGGCCCUGCUUUUGUGGGGUGCUCGAGUGGCGAACGGGUGAGUAACACGUGAGUAACCUGCCCUUGACUUUGGGAUAACUUCAGGAAACUGGGGCUAAUACCGGAUAGGAGCUCCUGCUGCAUGGUGGGGGUUGGAAAGUUUCGGCGGUUGGGGAUGGACUCGCGGCUUAUCAGCUUGUUGGUGGGGUAGUUGCUUACCAAGGCUUUGACGGGUAGCCGGCCUGAGAGGGUGACCGGGCCCAGUGGGACUUGGAAACGGGCCAGAAUCCAACGGGAGGCAGCAGGGGGGAAUAUUUGACAAUGGGCGGAAGCCUGAUGCAGCCACGCCGCGGGCGGGAUGACGGCCUUCGGGUUGUAAACCGCUUUCGCCUGUGACGAAGCGUGAGUGACGGUAAUGGGUAAAGAAGCACCGGCUAACUACGUG
rnacentral:rRNA from 1 species